GCGCGGGUGUCGUAACUGGUAGCCGAGCUACCUUGAGGUGGUAGUGGCCGUAAGGUCGUGGAGGUUCGAGUCCUCUCCCGCGCACCA
rnacentral:tRNA from 1 species